rnacentral:rRNA from 1 species
GACGAACGCUGGCGGCGUGCUUAACACAUGCAAGUCGAGCGAGGCCCUUCCUUCGGGAAGGUGUCCUAGCGGCGAACGGGUGAGUAACACGUGGGCAACCUGCCCUCAGCUCGUGGGAUAACUCCGGGAAAACCGGGGCUAAUACCGGAUACGACCUCUAAGGGCAUCCGAAGAGGUGGAAAGUUUUUCGGCUGAGGAUGGCCCGCGGCCUAUCAGCUUGUUGGUGGGGUGACGGCCUACCAAGGCGACGACGGGUAGCCGGCCUGAGAGGGUGACCGGCCACACUGGGACUGAGACACGGCCCAGACUCCUACGGGAGGCAGCAGUGGGGAAUAUUGCGCAAUGGGCGAAAGCCUGAACGCAAGCGACGCCGCGUGAGGGACGAAGGCCUUCGGUU